rnacentral:lncRNA from 1 species
UUUUAACUGUAAUCAAUUAAGCUAGGUGUUACAGGGACAGCCAUAUGUUUGUUUGUUUGUUUUAUCUGUCUUAGAGAAAGUGCAAUGGGGGAUAGACUUAGUAUGGAUUAAAAGGGAUACAUUUAUGUGGCUUUCAGUCACUUCCUAGUUAUUACAAGUUAUCCUGGCAUAAGUAUGUGCAUUAGUCCAUUCUCACACUCCCAUGCAGAGCUACCUGAGACUGGGUAAUGUAUAAGGGGCAUCUUAGACCUCUCCUAAACCAGUCAGUCAUUAAGACUUUUCAUGUCAUAUAAGAGAACACUAAAAACUGAAGACAAUUUCCUCCAUCCUCUUUUUAUCAUUUAAAAUAUUGUUGUCACUGCAUUCGGUAUGCUAAAAUAUGAUUUUUUUUUUCUCUUUGUAUCAGUUAGGAUAAAUUACUUAUGCUGUAGCAAAGAGCCCCCACAUGUUGGAGGCUUUCACAUUCGAGGUUUAUUUUUCACUCAUGUCACAAGCUACUGCUGCUCCAUGCACUCAGGGUCCCUUAUUCCUUCCAUCUAGUGUUCUCCAAUGGCUUCUCUGGAUCUGGAUUAGAGAAAACUGAUGGCUGAUGGUGAUCAUAGAAACAAGGCAUGACAGUGACAUGCUUCAUUUAUGCCCACAAUUGAUUAUAUCAAAUGGCUUAUAAGCUUCUGGAAUCAACUGUGUGAUCUUCAAAACUGGCAACUUGAGAACAGAGCAGGAAGUAAGUGGUUCAGCUUUGGAUACCCUGGUAAGGAUCCCAACAGUCAAAGAGCAUGUUCCUUUGGAAGCCAUUGUCAAUGGAGGCAGGGCUGCCAUCAGCUGGCACUCAUCAGGAAGGUCCCACUGUGUCAGUCUGUCUGUUCCAACUACUUGUUUCAUCUUUUGAGUAUCACACCUACUGAUGACCUUGGCGUGAUGUCUAUUGCCCGAUGCCAGCAAGUUUCAAACACCUCCUCCUACAACUUGUAUAUCUCCCCAUGGGUAUAAGGAAUAAAGAAAGAGAAGGGAACCUUGUGAAAUGACUGGUGAUGCCCUCCCAAGGAGACUGGCAUAAACCAGAAGUGACUAAGUUUACCUUGAUUGUCGAGCUUAAGUUUUCCACUAUGAAUUUGUGAACUAAUUUAAGCUCAUUUACAGUGCAUUAAAGAGAGCUCCAUUUUGUUUUAACAUGUAAAAUUUUAACUGCUACAAAUGUGAAUCACUGCAUUUAAGCUUUCACUUCUCAUAUCUUGAUGUCAAAUGCGCCCCAAAGCCUCUAAAGCAAUCAGGCAUUUCCUAGAGGAGAUCUAAGGGGAAACAUGUUCUUCUGCAAUUUUAGAGGGCGGGAUGAUGGGCUCAUUGGGGGUGUAUUACCACAGUAGGGUCUCACUUACAAAGUGGCACGAUAGGAAUUGACCUUUCUACUUUUUAGGGAUUGGGAAAAGCUGUAAAGCAAACCCCUAUUAGAGAAGAGGCUGAAUGAUAUGUUUCUUUCACAUGAGUUGAAAUCAGGAGUACUUGAUUUCAAAUAGGAAAAGCAGCAAAUGGAAGAAGUGUAAAUGAUAGACUGGACAAAGGAAAUAUGGCACAUAUAUACCAUGGAAUACUAUGCAACCAUGAAAAAUGAUGAGUUUGUGUCCUUUGUAGGGACAUGGAUGAACCUGAAAACCAUCAUUCUCAGCAAACUGACACAAGAACAGAAAAUCAAACACUACAUGUUCUCACUCAUAGGCGGAUGUUGAACAAUGAAAACAUGUGGACACAGAGAGGGGAGCAUCACACACUGGGGUCCAUUGUGGGGCGGUUAGGGGAGGGAUAGU